UACUAGAGUAGCACUCGCAUAUCAAUAAGCGGAGGAAAAGAAACUAACUAGGAUUCCCUUAGUAACGGCGAGUGAAGCGGGAAGAGCUCAAAUUUGAAAUCUUCAAGGUUCUACCUUGACGAAUUGUAGUUUAGAGAAGUGUUUUCUGUUAGUAGAGUUGGCUAAAAGUUCUUUGGAAUAGGACAUCAUAGAGGGUGAGAAUCCCGUAUUUGGUCAUUCUUCUAGCGUUGUGAUACACUUUCAACGAGUCGGAUUGUUUGGGAAUGCAGUCCAAAAUGGGUGGUAAUUUCAUCUAAAGCUAAAUAUUGGCGAGAGACCGAUAACGAACAAGUACCGUGAGGGAAAGAUGAAAAGAACUUUGAAAAGAGAGUUAAACAGUACGUGAAAUUGUCAAAAGGGAAGCGUUUGACACCAGUGUUGUUUUUCCGAAAAUCAAUUACGAAUGUUUUGUUUUUAAGAAGUUAUGACUUCAUCGGCUUGCUUCUCUCUUUACGAAACUUUCUUAAUGCACUUUUCGGUUAACAAGUCAACAUCAAUUUCUUUUGUUGUAAAAGGGUAUGAGGAAGGUGGCUUUCUUUUCGGAGAAAGUGUUUAUAGCCUUGUACCUCUGCAAUCGGAGAGAUUGAGGUCCGCAGCGUAGAUCCUUCGGGGUUAGAUACAUUUGUGCUAAGUUAUAGCUUUUCAUAGACAACUUGUUGACUAUGUUAAGUCUUGUAGCUUACUCGCUUAUGCUAUUUUACCUACGCUUAGGAUGUUGAAGAUGUAGCACAUCAU
rnacentral:rRNA from 1 species